CUCAGGACGAACGCUGGCGGCGUGCUUAACACAUGCAAGUCGAACGAGAAUUUUGAGAUGAAUUUUUCGAAAUGAUUCUUAAGAGGAAAGUGGCGGACGGGCGAGUAACGCGUGAGCAACCUGCCUUAUGCAGGGGGAUAACAUCGGGAAACCGGUGCUAAUACCGCAUAAGACUACAACAUCGCAUGGUGUAGUGGUCAAAAUGAUAGUGGCAUAAGAUGGGCUCGCGUCCAAUUAGCUAGUUGGUAGGGUAGAAGCCUACCAAGGCGACGAUUGGUAGCCGAACUGAGAGGUUGAUCGGCCGCAUUGGGACUGAGACACGGCCCAGACUCCUACGGGAGGCAGCAGUGGGGAAUAUUGCGCAAUGGGGGAAACCCUGACGCAGCAACGCCGCGUGAAGGAAGAAGGCUUUCGGGUUGUAAACUUCUUUGAUUGGGGAAGAAAUAGACGGUACCCAAAAAACAAGCCACGGCUAACUACGUGCCAGCAGCCGCGGUAACACGUAGGUGGCAAGCGUUGUCCGGAAUUACUGGGUGUAAAGGGCGUGUAGGCGGGAGUGCAAGUCAGAUGUGAAAUUCCGUGGCUCAACCACGGGGCUGCAUCUGAAACUGUGCUUCUUGAGUGCCGGAGAGGAAAGUGGAAUUCCUGGUGUAGCGGUGAAAUGCGUAGAGAUCAGGAAGUACACCAGUGGCGAAGGUGGCUUUCUGGACGGUAACUGACGCUGAGGCGCGAAAGCGUGGGGAGCGAACAGGAUUAGAUACCCUGGUAGUCCACGCCGUAAACGAUGGAUACUAGGUGUAGGAGGUAUCGACCCCUUCUGUGCCGGAGUUAACACAAUAAGUAUCCCACCUGGGGAGUACGACCGCAAGGUUGAAACUCAAAGAAAUUGACCGGGGCCCGCACAAGCCAGUGGAGUAUGUGGUUUAA
rnacentral:rRNA from 1 species